ACUGCGAAUGGCUCAUUAAAACAGUUAUAGUUUAUUUGAUAGUCAUCUGAGAUGAAAGUCUACUACAUGGAUAACCGUGGUAAUUCUAUGGCUAAUACAUGCGCAAAUAUCCUUUUUCGCAAGGAAGAGGAUAGUGUUUAUUAGAUACAGAACCAAUACACCAGUGUCACAGCUGGUGUGAAAAAGGUGAUUCAUAGUAACCGAACGGAUCGCAUUAUGGUCAUUCUUUUGUAAUGGCUGGCGAUAGAUCAUUCAAGUUUCUGACCUAUCAGCUUUCGACGGUAGUGUAUUGGACUACCGUGGCAGUGACGGGUAACGGGGAAUUAGGGUUCGAUUCCGGAGAGGGAGCCUGAGAAACGGCUACCACAUCUAAGGAAGGCAGCAGGCGCGCAAAUUACCCAAUCCUGACUCAGGGAGGUAGUGACAAGAAAUAACAACACUGGAAAUUUUAUUUCUAGUGAUUGGAAUGAUGGGAAUUUAAACCCCUUUCAGAGUAACAAUUGGAGGGCAAGUCUGGUGCCAGCAGCCGCGGUAAUUCCAGCUCCAAUAGCGUAUAUUAAAGUUGUUGCAGUUAAAAAGCUCGUAGUUGGAUGUCUGCUGGAAGCAAUCAGUCCGCCCUAUUUGUAGGGUGUGCACUUGAUGAAUUCUGGCAUUUUUGUCCCAAUGAUGUAACGG
rnacentral:rRNA from 1 species